UGUCCGCACUUUGUCUCAAAAGCUGAUGCAAGCUCUAAAUGAGGGAUCUAACUCUAGCUCGACGCCCGAGUUUGAAUUAGAAACAGAUGACCACUUGGACCCACCGCUUCGUUAGUGGUGUACGUGUUAAGAAUCUGGCUGAGCUUCAUAAAAUAUGAAUAAAAUGGAGAUGUUUUAUUUCUAAACUUAGGACGCUACUCAAAAAAGAAAACUAAAUAUGGGAUUUAGUAUGUUAAUUGACGCCCAUUGUAAACGUCGUGGACAAGUGUAAUAAAUCAGAGGAGAAUUUUGAUGAAAGACAAAGUCUUUAUCUUUUGGUUAACACUGAAAAUUGAGAAAGAAAUUCAAUAGUAACUUAAUAGCUACUUAUCUCUAUAUCAGCCAAAUGGUUGACUGGUAGAGAAGUUCAAAUGGAAUCAAGUCCCCCUAAAUACAUGUCUGUGAUACGUACUUCUUUUUAAAAGCUGAUCGUUCAC